UGCAGAUUUUCCCCAAACAUUCAAAGAUGCAGCUGUUUUCAAGAUUUUAGAUGUGAUUUUUCAGCAAUAACUUCUUUGUUUCUCCACGAAUAACAGUCAAAGAUAAUCUGAAUGCUUAAUGGUGUGAGAAGUCAAUGAAGGCUCAGAAAGACGUUUACGGGGAAUCUUGUGAGAUUAGUUCAUUAGUCCCUACUAAAAAGGAACUAGUCUGUUAUGGAAAGUUCUUUCAAGUUUGUUGUGGAACCAUAUCUUGAAUUUAAUUGUGACGGAAGAUUUGGAGAAAGAUGACGGAGGUAUUGUAAAGAUUGGAGAAGGUGUUAAAACAUAAUAAACAUUCAGAAGGAAGAAUUUUAAAGUUUAUGGAAUGCAUCAAAAAUCUUGGGUAACCAUGUUCAAAAAAGCAUUGUUAUGACAAGGCAAUUCGUUGGAAUUCCACUUAUCUGAUGCUUGAAAGUGUGUUGCUCUAACAACAAGCUUAUAUUCAAUAUAAAUUGAUUGAUACUGAUUUUAAGCAUGGUCUUUCUGAGGAGGAAUGGAAAAGAGUAGAGACGAUUGCUCAAUUUUAGCCAUUUUAUAACAUUACUACAUUGUUCUCUAGAAGCCAAUAUCCAGCUGCUAAUUUAUAUCUACAUAAUGUAUGGAAAAUUCAGAAGCUAUUAGAGGAAGAAAAAGAUAAUUAUGAUUCAGUUAUGAGUGAAAUGGCUACAUCAUUGUUAAAGAAAUUCAAAAAAUAUUGAAAGUCUUACAAUAUGAUACUAUCACUAGCUAUUGUUCUCGAUCCUCGAUAUAAUCUUAAGUUUUUGAAAUUUAUCUUUUGUAAAAUUGAUCUUUAGACUGUUGAAGAAAAGGUAAAAGUCGUUAAAUAUCAUUUACAUUUGUUAUUCAAAGAAUAUUCUGUACCUUCAACCUCAAUUUCCUUGUAGAGGGAAACUAGUCCUGAAAUGAGGCAUGAACUUGAGGAGUUUGAUAAUCAAUUUGAGUGUGGUAAAACUAAAACACAACUGAAUUUGUACCUGGAGGAGCCUAAUCUUGUCCAUAAAGUAAAUUCAGAUUUGGAUGUACUUGCCUAUUGGAAAGAAAGUAGACUAAGGUAUCUUGAACUCUCAUUGAUGGAAAUAGACGUCUUGAGCAUACCUAUUACCACAGUAGCCUCUGAAUCAACCUUUAGCAUUGGAGGUCGUAUUAUUUGAAAAUUUACGAGUUCUAUUUCACCUGCAAAUGCAAAGGCGAACUUAUGAACUAGAGAUUGGCUUUGUUUUCAAGAAGGUUGUAAUGAAUCUGAUUCCGAUGAUGAUGAGAUUGGGGUAGACCUCCAGCCGUAUUUUGGUAGAGUGCAUCAUGCCUGCAAUUGAUUGUUUAUGUUGACAUUCUUCAGACGAAGUGUUUGAUGGUAAAUACAUUUUCUUCUUCUUAUAGGUGCUGUUGUAACAACUACAUUUAGCUUCUUCUACAUUUAGAUUUUUUUGGCUACGUAAAAGGUGAAUCAUUCUAAAGUCAUUGUUGGAAUACUUUGUUAUAAAUUCGAACUCUGUCUAGUGAUUGUUGUCAUAAAUGUCUUAAAUUGUUCUUCAAGUUUGAAGUUGAAAUCAUUUUCAGUGCUAAGUGCACCCAAAAGAAUUGGACUUCAACAAUUUCUUUUAAAAAGCUGCUUUUGUGGAUAUGAGGUUAUAAUAUAACUGUA